AUGUACUGCAUGCGCCAGAGACCCGGGCAGGGGCUGGAGUGGCUCGCAUGGAUCAACACUGGUGGCAGCGCCUGGGACUCACCAUCGGCCAAGGGCCGGGUCAUGAUGUCCCGGGACAACGGGCAGAGCUCGAGACCCGGGCAGGUGCUGGAGUUCAUUGCAGCUAUCAGCACCACUGGCAGCACCAGCUACGCGGAUUCGGUCAAGGGGCUCUGGGGGACCGUGACCCUGCUGAAGUGCGGGGGGGACCUCCAGCCCCCCGGGGGUUCCCUGCGCCUCCUCUGCCGAGGGUCCGGGUUCAUUUUCGGGGAUUAUGGAAUGUACUGGAUCCGCCAGAGACCCGGGCAGGCUUUGGAAUACGUCGCAGGAAUCCACUACAAUAGUGCCAACACCAUCUACGCGCCAUCGGUCAAGGGCCGGGUCACGAUCUCCAGGGACAAGGGGCAGAGCUCGGUGACGCUGACCAUGAACAACCUCAAGGACGAGGAUUCCGCCGUUUAUUUCUGCGGCUCUGGGCGGCCGUGA